UGAAACACGGACCAAGGAGUCUAACAUGUGCGCGAGUCAUUGGGUGCCAAACCUAAAGGCGGAAUGAAAGUGAAGGCCGACUCGAUUGGCUUAUACGGGAUCCGUAGCAAUACGGCGCACCGUAGUCCCGUCUCGACCGCUUGCGGUGGGGCGGAGACAGAGCGUACACGUUGGGACCCGAAAGAUGGUGAACUAUGCCUGAGCAGGACGAAGCCAGAGGAAACUCUGGUGGAGGUCCGAAGCGGUUCUGACGUGCAAAUCGAUCGUCAGACUUGGGUAUAGGGGCGAAAGACUAAUCGAACCAUCUAGUAGCUGGUUCCCUCCGAAGUUUCCCCCAGGAUAGCUGGAGCUCGUUAGAGCAGUUGUAUCCGGUAAAGCGAAUGAUUAGAGGCCUUGGGGACGAAACGACCUCAACCUAUUCUCAAACUUUCAAUGGGUACGAAGUUCCGGUUGCUCGAUUCGAACCGCGAACAGUGAAUGUGAGCUCCCAGUGGGCCAUUUUUGGUAAGCA
rnacentral:rRNA from 1 species